GAUGAACGCUGGCGGCGUGCCUAAUACAUGCAAGUCGAGCGAACAGACGAGGAGCUUGCUCCUCUGACGUUAGCCGCGCGCGGGUGAGUAACACGUGAAUAACCUACCUAUAAGACUGUGGUAACUUCGGGACACCGGAGCUAAUACCGGAUAAUAUAUUGAGACGCCUGGUUCAAUAGUGACAGACGGUUUUGGUGUCCCUUAUUGAUGGAUCCGCGGCUCAUUAGCUAGUUGGUAAGGUAAGGGCCUACCAAGGCAACGAUGCGUAGCGGACCUGAGAGGGUGAGCGGCCACACUGGAACUGAGACACGGCCCAGACUCCUACGGGAGGCAGCAGUAGGGAAUCUUGCGCAAUGGGCGAAAGCCUGAUGGAGCAACGCCGCGUGAGUGAAGAAGGCCUUCGGAUUGUAAAACACUGUUAUCAGGGAAGAACAAAUUUGUAAGAAACUAGGCACGUGUUGACGGUACCGAAACAGAAAGCAACGGCUAACUACGUG
rnacentral:rRNA from 1 species